CCCUUAGGAAAAAAACACUUAUAAAACCACCUUUUGCAUUGGUGCUCUGUACGUGAGCCAUCACUGUCAUCACAGAAGAGUUUUUGUAAAACAAUGAAUUUAUUGUACAGUAUAUAAAAAUAUUUAAUUUCUAAACUGCAACAUAACUGUUACUUUCCUUUGUCUAUUAGCUCUGCUGACCAACACAAACCAGGUGCUUAGAACGACUGGCUUUCUGCUUUACUGCUUAAUUAUUUCUAACGUGGUUUUCAGCUGAUUAGUUUGCGGGAUUUUAGGAGGUAGGAGAAGAACAAAGAAUCUGUUUGUGUUUGUUUAUUAUGUUGCUGUUUAAGUGCAUUAUGGGUCAUCCUGCCAAACGUCUUUUUGGGAAACACAUUUUCUGUAACAGGGUAAUUAUUGUUAACUAAAAUAAAAUUGAAAAAUUAGAAAACAUUUUCAUAAAAAAUACUACUUAGCUAAAGUACUGGUAUGUUUGUCUUUAAUUACCAUCAAUCCCUGGAACAGCAAUGGUCAGCUCUCAGCCUUAAAAGUAUAGCGUUAGAUCAGUGGGUAACGCUUGAGAGAGGUACUCCAUGUCAGUAUGGUGUGAGAUCAGUGGGUAACGCUUGAGGGAGGUUAUCCAUGACAGUGUGGUAUUAGAUCAGUGGGUAACGCCGGAGGGAGGUUAUCCAUGUCAGUAUGGUGUUAGAUCAGUGGGUAACGCUUGAGAGGGGUUAUCCAUGACAGUAUGGUGUUAGAUCAGUGGGUAACGCUUGAGGGAGGUUAUCCAUGUCAGUAUGGUGUUAGAUCAGUGGGUAACGCUUGAGAGAGGUUAUCCAUGACAGUAUGGUGUUAGAUCAGUGGGUAACGCUUGAGAGGGGUACUCCAUGACAGUAUGGUGUGAGAUCAGUGGGUAACGCUUGAGGGAGGUUAUACAUGACAGUAUGGUGUUAGAUCAGUGGGUAACGCUUGGGGGAGGUAUUCCAUGUCAGUAUGGUGUUAGAUCAGUGGGUAACGCUUGAGAGGGGUACUCCAUGACAGUAUGGUGUGAGAUCAGUGGAUAACGCUUGAGAGGGGUACUCCAUGACAGUAUGGUGUUAGAUCAGUGGGUAACGCUUGAGAGGGGUACUCCAUGACAGUAUGGUGUGAGAUCAGUGGGUAACGCUUGAGGGAGGUUAUACAUGACAGUAUGGUGUUAGAUCAGUGGGUAACGCUUGAGGAAGGUUAUCCAUGACAGUAUGGUAUUAGAUCAGUGGGUAACAUUUGAGGGAGGUUAUCCAUGACAGUAUGGUGUUAGAUCAGUGGGUAACGCUUGAGGGAGGUUAUCCAUGACAGUAUGGUAUUAGAUCAGGGGGUAACGCUUGAGGGAGGUUAUCCAUGACAGUAUGGUGUUAGAUCAGUGGGUAACGCUUGAGGGAGGUUAUCCAUGACAGUAUGGUGUUAGAUCAGUGGGUAACGCUUGAGGGAGGUUAUCCAUGACAGUAUGGUGUUAGAUCAGUGGGUAACGCUUGAGGGAGGUUAUCCAUGACAGUAUGGUGUUAGAUCAGUGGGUAACGCUUGAGGGAGGUUAUCCAUGACAGUGUGAUAUUAGAUCAGUGGGUAACGCUUGAGGGAGGUUAUCCAUGACAGUAUGGUGUUAGAUCAGUGGGUAACGCUUGAGGGAGGUUAUCCAUGACAGUAUGGUGUUAGAUCAGUGGGUAACGCUUGAGGGAGGUUAUCCAUGACAGUAUGGUAAGUUGGUUGACAACGUCAUCGUAACUGAUGGUGUUUAUAAGGGCACCAGAGCACCCAGGCCGCAGCUCCUUGGUCGACUACGUCAUGGUAACUGAUGGGACUGGCACUUGGUCACUUUUAAUAUCCGUUCUUAAAUGUUUCAUGUUCUUUUUAUUAUGUUCAUUUUCACAUGUAUUCCUACACUUUUACUUUGUCUAUUUUUACAUUUUGCACUUUGUUUCUUAUAUUUUCUGUAAAGCACUUUGAAUGACCUUGAUGUAUGAACAUGUGCUAGACAAAGAAACUUGACUUGAACUGAAAUUAAAUGUUCACUCUCUACUCACU